GGGCCGGUAGCUCAGCCUGGAAGAGUGCUUGGCUCGCACCCAAGAGGUCCCGGGUUCAAAUCCCGGCCGGUCCA
rfam:Sulfolobus acidocaldarius DSM 639, complete genome.